CAAGUCGAACGGGAUCGGCUGGAGCUUGCUCCGGCCGUGAGAGUGGCGAACGGGUGAGUAAUGCGUGACCGACCUGCCCCAUACACCGGAAUAGCUCCUGGAAACGGGUGGUAAUGCCGGAUGCUCCGACAUGACGCAUGUCGUGUUGGGAAAGAUUCUAUCGGUAUGGGAUGGGGUCGCGUCCUAUCAGGUAGUCGGCGGGGUAACGGCCCACCGAGCCUACGACGGGUAGCCGGCCUGAGAGGGCGACCGGCCACAUUGGGACUGAGAUACGGCCCAGACUCCUACGGGAGGCAGCAGUGGGGAAUAUUGCACAAUGGGCGCAAGCCUGAUGCAGCGACGCCGCGUGCGGGAUGACGGCCUUCGGGUUGUAAACCGCUUUUGACUGGGAGCAAGCCCUUCGGGGUGAGUGUACCUUUCGAAUAAGCACCGGCUAACUACGUGCCAGCAGCCGCGGUAAUACGUAGGGUGCAAGCGUUAUCCGGAAUUAUUGGGCGUAAAGGGCUCGUAGGCGGUUCGUCGCGUCCGGUGUGAAAGUCCAUCGCUUAACGGUGGAUCCGCGCCGGGUACGGGCGGGCUUGAGUGCGGUAGGGGAGACUGGAAUUCCCGGUGUAACGGUGGAAUGUGUAGAUAUCGGGAAGAACACCAAUGGCGAAGGCAGGUCUCUGGGCCGUCACUGACGCUGAGGAGCGAAAGCGUGGGGAGCGAACAGGAUUAGAUACCCUGGUAGUCCACGCCGUAAACGGUGGAUGCUGGAUGUGGGGACCAUUCCACGGUCUCCGUGUCGGAGCCAACGCGUUAAGCAUCCCGCCUGGGGAGUACGGCCGCAAGGCUAAAACUCAAAGAAAUUGACGGGGGCCCGCACAAGCGGCGGAGCAUGCGGAUUAAUUCGAUGCAACGCGAAGAACCUUACCUGGGCUUGACAUGUUCCCGACAGCCCCAGAGAUGGGGCCUCCCUUCGGGGCGGGUUCACAGGUGGUGCAUGGUCGUCGUCAGCUCGUGUCGUGAGAUGUUGGGUUAAGUCCC
rnacentral:rRNA from 1 species